CACUUGGGCCUUUAGCACAACUUUGCUGGCCUAAACCCCUAGGUUGGUACCCUCCAACCUUUCAUGACCAUGUAUCCAAUAUCCAUCCAAAGCUCAUGUAAACUAAUAAAGAAGAUAAGAGAGAGAGAGAGAGAGAGAUGAACAGGCCAAAUUGGAGCUGGGAUAAAUAAGAAAGGAGGGAUAGCUUCUCAAGCUCCGUAGCUGCUUGGUGGUCUGGAGCAUUGGAAGGUGGGUUGUGCAGGAUGGAGAAGCAGGGCACGUGCAUUACUAUUUAACACCUCUCUUUCAACAAGUUGAAAGAGUUAUCUAGUUCUUCAUGUGCCCAUCUUCUCCACCAUGCCCAACCUACCUAAUUUUCUGCUAACAGUUGAUAUUGAAGACUAGCAAGACUAGAUUGUUCGCCGACAUCAGCAGUAACCAGGAUUUGGUAAGCGUGCAUCAAGCUUGUGAUCUGAAAAAGCAGUCCAUCAUGAGGAUAAAUGGAAGAUCCCUUCUUUUGCUUCAUGGAAGGUGAAAAUUAACAGAUCAGCAGAAGAUUCAAUGUGUUUCACAAGGAAAAUUAUAUUUUGAAGAACAACUAGCAUCAUCCUAUGAAUUCAAGUUAUUUAGUUAUUUCAUAUCCAUAAACUGGUUGAUAAGUCUUUGUUUUAAGCUUUGAAUCGAGAAAAACUUAUGAACUCAUUCAGGUAGGUGUUUUUUUUUUUUUUUUACAUCUUUUGCUUAUUUAUGUAGAACUACUACCAUGUUAAGAUCUUAUAUCAUAUGCAGAAAUGGGUCUUGCACUGUUGUCUUCUACUACUGUCACUUGGCAAUAUUUGUUAGCAAAACCAAAGCUUGCACUUGUAGUACUGUAUGCUCAUAUUUGCAUUUAGAGAAUAUAUCAAGAACUUUUACUUUCUAUUUUUUUCUUCAAAAAGAAAAAAAGAAAUGAAGAAUUAUAAUUUGAUGCAUGACAGAUAGCUCAGAUCUACAGAGUGAAAAAGUUUCUAUUUUUACAAGGACUAAAACCCUGUGGCCUAUCUGAAAAUGGGCCCUCUGAAGAAAAUGAUUUUGUACCAUAGACCUGCCACGCCCUCCUUCCUCAACCAAUAUCUCAGUCUCCUUUUAUGAUUCUUGUCUGGCAUUUGGUGGCCAACCAUUUUAUGAUUCAUUACCCCAGCCCAGCUAGACUCCACUAAUACCUUUCAGGCCAAUUCUUACAAUCUGGUGCCACUAUGAACUUCCUUCGUUUUCUGAAUGCAGAAGUUCAUUUUGGCACAGAAGUGCUCAGAAAUGGACGAGUACAAGAAGUUCAUCCUUGGCACCAAAUUGCUUAUUUGUAGAAACUGGAACUAGUCCAUUUUUUUUUAUUAACACCUAGGCUGCUAAAAUUUUUUGGCUUGUGCUUCAAGUUUCUAAAGACCUCGCAAUUUAUGAGGAUCUGAUCCUCUACAUAACUUCAAUGUUUGAACUGAGAUCCAUUAUGAUUACAAAUGGUUUAUCUAUAGAGCUAGUUUAAGACUGGUUUAAACAAAUGAAAAGUUGUUUUCUGAUUUGGAAAGCAAUUUACUGGCCAAGUACAUGGAGCAACUGCAGAAUUUGAUGAAGACGAAGUUGAUAGAGAACUGCUAUAUCAUUAAUAUAAUGUUUCCAUAAGAAACUACAAUAAUUUUAAUUCAGUUCUUAACCUUGUUGACAAGAUUACAGUUUUAAAAAACUGAUGACACAUGGUCCAUUGUUGCCAAAAGUGCUCCUCUGCACUGGCAGGAACCCUUGCAACCUUUUUCGUGCCUCUCCUUUUCCUGAUUUAUGUAUAGGUGGGCGCACUUCUGAACGCAUGCAUUAAUUCGUGCAUGCUCCUGAUUUACUAAUGGAUGCCAUCUAGUACAAUAUUUAGCUUCUAAAAGUCUUGAAAUAUUGGUGCAAAACUGUAGAUGAAGUUUGUUUGGGUAAACUAUAGUACUUUAAAAUAUGGAGGGCUUUUUUGGAUGUAUUAAAAUUAGUAAGAGAAUUUGAGACUUUAGUCAGAUAUUAAAAAUGAAUAUUAUGAUUUCAUCAAAAUCAAGUGCUUAAAUGUGCUUUGAGAAUUAUCUUUGCACUGAAGUUCUUUAUAAUAUACAUAUAUAUAUAACAGUGCUAAGAUUAGUGACAAUCCAUCACAAGUAAUCCUAUUUUCAUAAAUAUUCUCCAAGAAGUUUGUCAGGAAAAGGUAGCUAGCUUCAUUUCUGGAGAAAGUUGACUUAAAGAGCAGUUCAUCUUCAAAUAGUUAAUAGAGUAGGAGAGAUGAUUAUGUAGUAACACAAAGCUGAUAAGAAAAAUAGAACAGCUGAUGUGUAAUUGUUUAAUGUGGCUGGAUAUUUUUGAUUCUAAGAUAAAGAGGAAAAAAAGGCCAAUUUGCAUGCUUGGCAUAUUUUCUAGUUAUCGGCAACUGUCUCCCUUUCCAUGAUGUUAAAUUUUAAUCUGCAAGCCUCCAUACUGAAAAUGUGAAGCAUCAAAUUUCAGCCAAGGAAGAAUGGGAUACAGGUUCUAGCCAUCAAUGCAUGAUCGAUGAAAUAUUUAGUCAGGUUUGAAUUUUACUGAAGUGUUCAUCCUCCAAACUGGAAAAUGACUAUUCAGAUGGCGGCAUGGCAUAGAAGCAGAAAAACUAUCUUAAGUAAAUGGAUUGUUUAUGUACCAAAAAAAAUGGGAUUGUUUAUUUUGAGAAAAUUAGAUAGAAGGCUUAUUUGUUUAGCUGGAUUCUACAAAUAAAUUUUAGAAGCAGGAUCUCUGCUAUAAUUUCAGAAUCCUUUUU